ensembl:lncRNA
AUGAUAUGUUGUGGAAAGACGGGACUUUUAAUAAACUUGGAAAGCUUGAGAAUUGAUGGAAAAAUGUAUAACUGGAUUCUGAGUUUCUUGUUUGGAAGAACAAUUCAAGUAAGAGUAGGGACAGUUUUUUCUAAGAAUGGAACUCCACAGGGAAGUGUGAGCAGUCCUAUUCUUUUUAAUUUAAUGAUAAAUGACAUAUUUCAUAAUGUGGAUAAGGGAAUAGGAAGAUCAUUGUAUGCGGAUGAUGGAGCACUAUGGAAAAGGGGGCGUAAUGUUUCAAUUGUAGAAAAGAAAAUCCAAAAAGCAGUAAAUGAGGUGGAGAAAUGGACGAAUGGUUGGGGUUUCCGAUUUUCUUUGGCGAAAACAAAAGUAAUAUGUUUUUCGAAAAAGAAAAAUAAUCCAAGCCUGAAUGUCAAAAUGUAUGGUUGUCAGCUAGAACAAAUUAGUGUAGUAAGAUUUUUGGGUAUGUGGAUGGACUCUAAAUUAAAUUUUAGAUUUCAUAUUCAGAAAUUGAUAGAAAAAUGCAAAAAAGGAAUCAAUGUCUUAAGGUGCUUGUCAGGAGCUGAAUGGGGGGCAAGCUGUCAUGCACUGAAAAGAAUAUAUUGUGCUGUUAUAAGGUCAAACAUAGAUUAUGGCUGUAUAGUUCACAGUUCUGCAAACAAAACUUUGCUAAAUAAGAUAGAAGUAAUUCAAAAUCAAGCUUUGCGGAUCUGUUGUGGUGCAUUUAGAUCUUCUCCAGUGGCUUCGUUACAAGUUGAAAUGCGAGAAUUGCCUCUACAACUGCGUAGGUUUCAGUUGAGGUUAAGGUACUGGUGUGGUGUCAAGGGACAUCUGGAAAGCCACCCAGUUAGACUACUUCUGAAAGAUUGCUGGGAAUAUGCAUACAAAGAAAUAACAAGCUUUGGCUGGGUAGUAAGGAAGGAGGUAAAUAGUUUGAAGAUGAAAGACCAUGAUAUUGCUCCUUCUGUUGCUAUUCCAGCAAUUCCCCCUUGGUUGUUCCCUAUGCCACUAAUAAACUUACAAAUUCACAAAGUAAUAAAAAAACAGGAGAUGAGCUUGCCAACUGAAAUAGUGGUACAACAAUAUAUAAGUCAAGAGUAUUAUUCUGUGUUACAGGUAUUUACAGAUGGGUCUAAGGAGCCAGAGUCUGGAAGAGCAGCAGCAGCAGUAUAUAUUCCUACUUUUAAAAUAAAAAUGGCAAAAAGAUUAUCAGACUAUGUGUCAGUUUUUACUACUGAAUUGUUAGCUAUCAUCCUAGCGCUACAGUGGAUUGAAGAAGUUCAGCCAGCAAGAACAGUGAUAUGUACGGAUUCAAUGGCUGCACUCUCAAGUCUAUUAAGUGGUAAAUCUGAAGCUCGGCAAGACUUAGUAUUAGAAGUGUUACAAAGUUUGUAUAGAAUAAGACAAUUAAGGAUUGAGGUUACAUUCAUCUGGGUGCCUGCACAUGUGGGUGUGGAUGGAAAUGAGGAAGUAGACUUGCUAGCAAAGAAAGCAUUAAAUCAUCCACAAAUAGAAAUUAUGAUAGCAUUAAGUAAAGCUGAAUUCAAGAGACUGAUUACAUUAGAAGCAAAUAAAAAAUGGCAAGACAUAUGGAAUAGUGGGUCUAAAGGAAGACACCUAUUCCAGAUUCAGGAGAGUGUUGGAAAGGAGAGGAAAAGAUACGGAAAUAGAAAGAAAGAUGUCAUUCUUUCAAGACUGAGAAUUGGACACAGCAUUGAAUCAAGGUCUGUAUAA